AAGCUGUUCCGGAUUAUCAAUUGCAUAAUCUUAAAGUCUCUAAGUCUCAACCCAAGUCUUUUUUUACCACGGAAUGCUUUGCUCUUGAAUUUGGUUGUCAAUCACAGUGUCAUGCAAAUAGUAGAGGCCCUGGAAGAGAAUACACAGGAUAGACGCCUUGUGUCUCUGCUCGACAAAUACCAUGAGUCCCAAUCUCCCAGAGGUAAAUUUGCUCGUGUUAUAUAUAGGAAAGCUUUUAUGGAGAAGAAUAUCAUGUCAAUGGCUCGUGAGUUGAAAAGUUUCGAGCAGAGCUUCUGAAAGUGGUAAGUGAUUCAACAAUCUAUUGAACAUCCUUGUUGAUCUGCUGGUUGAUCCUCGAUGCUGCUUCUCGAUGAUACUGUUGCUCAAUGGCAAUGCUGCUACUACUCGUGUCGAUCAAAAAAUCAUUUCAGGCUUAUAACUGUCAACAAUCUGAAUAUAAUACUGUCAAUAGCAAAAUAUGAUUGUCAUAGUGUUAUACUGUUAAUCAGUUGUAAAACUACUUAAGUUAUAAGCAUUAUAUGGUUCUCCUUGUUAAAUACAUUGUAGUUAUCAUAUUUUAUAUUGUCAUAAACAAAAUUUUGAUUGUCAUAAGCAAAAUUUUAUUAAUUGUUACUUAUAUUGCCUUAAGCGACAAAACGGCACGUUCUCAUUGUAAAAAAAAACCUUGUAAUUAUAUUUGGUUUUAAUGAUAUCAUAAAAAGUUUGUUAGUAAUAAUUUUUUCCCAUUAUGUGGCAAGAUUUCUUAAUAAUAUAUGCCAAUUUAUGUUAGCUUAGUUAUGAUUAUAAAAUCCAUAUAUGAUUACUCAUUAUAAUCCAACAUAGUUAUAAUCCAUUUACAAGAGCAUAUCUUAAUUACCCUUGUAAAGAAGUCAUCAUAAUUACCCUUCAAAUCUUCAUAAGUUGAGAAAGUAGUAAUGGAGUGUAAUACUCCAUUUGAUAAUACAUAACAAAGGAACGGGGGUCAUUUACUCAUUUAGUAACGGUGUAGGACCCAGACUACAUUACAAAGCAGGAUGCGGGUGGGACCAGAGCCAAAAUAAUAAAAUACAAAAAAGGCAAGAUAAUAAUAAUAAUAAAAAAUAAAAAAUAAAAAAUAAAUAAAAAAAAGAAAAAACAAAAGGAUACGGUAAUUGAAGGGGAAAAAAAUUACCUCUUUUCUCUCUCCUUUGCCAAUCUUUUCUCUUUGCCUCAUUCCAGCUCUCUCCUUAAACUUGAA